rnacentral:rRNA from 1 species
UACGUAGGGGGCUAGCGUUGUCCGGAAUCAUUGGGCGUAAAGAGCGUGUAGGCGGUCCGGUAAGUCCGCUGUGAAAGUCGGGGGCUCAACCCUCGAAUGCCGGUGGAUACUGUCGGGCUAGAGUGCGGAAGAGGCGAGUGGAAUUCCUGGGUGUAGCGGUGAAAUGCGCAGAUAUCAGGAAGAACACCAAUGGCGAAAGCAGCUCUCUGGGACGGUACUGGACGCUGAGACGCGAAAGCGUGGGGAGCGAACAGG